rnacentral:rRNA from 1 species
UAUGGGUAGCAACAGGAUAGAUACCCUGGUAGUCCAUACGUAAACGAUGAAUGCUAAGUGUGGAGGGUUCCGCCCUUCAGUGCUGCAGCUAACGCAUUAAGCAUUCCGCCUGGGGAGUACGGCCGCAAGGCUGAAACUCAAAGGAAUUGACGGGGGCCCGCACAAGCGGUGGAGCAUGUGGUUUAAUUCGAAGCUACGCGAAGAACCUUACCAGGUCUUGACAUACUAUGCAAAUCUAAGAGAUUAGACGUUCCCUUCGGGGACAUGGAUACAGGUGGUGCAUGGUUGUCGUCAGCUCGUGUCGUGAGAUGUUGGGUUAAGUCCCGCAACGAGCGCAACCCUUAUUAUCAGUUGCCAGCAUUAAGUUGGGCACUCUGGUGAGACUGCCGGUGACAAACCGGAGGAAGGUGGGGAUGACGUCAAAUCAUCAUGCCCCUUAUGACCUGGGCUACACACGUGCUACAAUGGAUGGUACAACGAGUUGCGAACUCGCGAGAGUAAGCUAAUCUCUUAAAGCCAUUCUCAGUUCGGAUUGUAGGCUGCAACUCGCCUACAUGAAGUCGGAAUCGCUAGUAAUCGCGGAUCAGCAUGCCGCGGUGAAUACGUUCCCGGGCCUUGUACACACCGCCCGUCACACCAUGAGAGUUUGUAACACCCAAAGUCGGUGGGGUAACCUUUAGGAACCAGCCGCCUAAGGUGGGACAGAUGAUUAGGGUGAAGUCGUAACAAGGUAACCA